UCCGAGUUGACCCCGGCAGUCUCCUAUGAGUCCCCGGCCGAACCGCUGGCAACAUAGAACGAGGGUUGCGCUCGUUGCGGGACUUAACCCAACAUCUCACGACACGAGCUGACGACAACCAUGCACCACCUGUUCAGGACCCUUGCGGACCCCGUAUCUCUACGGGAUUUCCCUGAAUGUCAAGCCUUGGUAAGGUUCUUCGCGUUGCAUCGAAUUAAGCCACAUGCUCCGCCGCUUGUGCGGGCCCCCGUCAAUUCCUUUGAGUUUUAGCCUUGCGGCCGUACUCCCCAGGCGGGGCGCUUAAUGCGUUAGCUGCGGCACGGAGACCGUGGAAUGGUCCCCACACCUAGCGCCCAACGUUUACGGCGUGGACUAC
rnacentral:misc_RNA from 1 species